rnacentral:rRNA from 1 species
AUACGGAGGGUGCAAACGUUAAUCGGAAUUACUGGGCGUAAAGCGCGCGUAGGUGGUUUAGUAAGUCGGAUGUGAAAGCCCUGGGCUCAACCUGGGAAUUGCAUUCGAUACUGCUUGACUAGAGUAUGGUAGAGGGAAGUGGAAUUUCCGGUGUAGCGGUGAAAUGCGUAGAUAUCGGAAGGAACACCAGUGGCGAAGGCGACUUCCUGGGCCAAUACUGACGCUGAGGUGCGAAAGCGUGGGGAGCAAACAGGAUUAGAAACCCCGGUAGUCC